rnacentral:lncRNA from 1 species
GAACAAAAUCCCAAAGGAAUCUUAUUGUGAAAAAUAUAAGAAUGUAAAAAAAUUACAUUAGUUAUAACAAAUACUUCUUUCUUGAAUCACUUAACUGUUGAAACAAUGUGAUCAGUCAUCCUUCCUACUCAUUACUUUCCCCCAUGAGACAGGGGUUUUCUUGCUGUUAUCUCGAAACUAAUGGCUAAAAUAUAUCCAAUAUAUCGAUAAGAAUUCGAAAAGAAUUAACUUUUGGAGUAAUUGCAUGGCAGAGAAUUAGAUUACGCCACUAUCCGCUCCUGGUCUAUGUACAUUUGUUCCAGCCAUGGUGGAAUGGUGUCGCGAAUACUGCCGUGCUUCUGCUCUGAGCUAUAUAGCCCGGUACCAGUGGAGGACACAUCUUUGACCAAGGAAUGAACCCACGAAACGUCUGGCUCAUUGACUUGAGAUGGUGCGAUUGGUGAUCUUGUUGGAGCAGCAUUUCCACCGCGGAAACCAAAAGAUUGAGAUCUCUUGAGCUUGUUCGUGUCCUCGCUAUUGAAGCCCCACUCUAAUUUCCCAGUUGGGGAGCCCCAAUCCGAUAUAUUAGAUGACAUCAAAGGUGGUGAAUUAGCAACGCCAUUGGGACCAGAACGAUGGCCAAUUCCACUACGAUCAAUAAAACUCUGACUCCGCUGCUUUGCAAAAGCAGCAGACCUAGAGUUCAUGACAGCUGCAGCCACUGCUGCUGAAGAGUCAAAUCCAUACGUCGAGGGCUUUCUCAGGGGAGAUGAUGAUUGAGACAUGAUAGAAUAGCUCCCUUGAAAUUGGUUCAUGUUUUGCCGCAUCUGAAGCCCGGUUGGAGAUUGCAGCUGGGAGGUGUUACUUGUCACCUUAGGGGAGAGACCUUGCAUAUGAGAAACCGAUGGAGAAUAUAACUGAGAACUGGUGUUUGAUGUCAUUCUUGGAGAUAGGCCCUGCAAUUGGGACAGCAAUUGAGAAUCCACCGAUCCAAAAACAUCAUCAAGAUUAGUAGGCUUCAAAUCCCCCAUCCUGUUAUCGUUCUUCCAAUAGGAUGGAGAAGAGAGACCAGCCAUCUCAUCGAUCAAUUGCUGCCUUAGUUGCUGCUGUGUGCGGAUGCUUUCCAAGCCAAGCAUUUCCAUAUCCAAGUCCAAGUCCCGGGCGUUCAGAGACGUCUUAAGCCUACUACCAGGAAGCUGUAGUGCAGGCGGGGUGAGAUUCACCUUGCCCGGCCACAUGUUUCCGCCCAUUGGAGACGAACACGUAGCAGCAGGAGACAUCGGAGGUGUUGAAGUAGUAGUAGUAGGCAGCAUCAUGGAAGAUGAACUGAGCGCCAGAGGACUUGGUGUUGACAUGUCCAUAGAACUGACUGGAGUAGCCUUUGGAGAAGGAAUAGCUGAGCCAGUGGAUGCAUACAAUGGGCGUAGCUCUUCAUGCUUGUGAGCAAAGAAGCAAACUUUCCUCGAGCACCCGGUCUCAUCCUUGCAGAGACGGGUUCUAUAUUGGGCAGGAUGAAGCCAUGACUCAAAUACACCAUGAGCAUACUCACAAGAAUCACCUUUGGCACAAGCACCUUUCUUGAACUCAGGACACGGGACACAAGUGUAGUUAUACUUCCUUGGGUCACGUCUCCUCGCAUUCUCCCCUGGAUGAACAAAAGGGCAUUCAGUCCAGUCAUGAGAAUAAGCCCUAGAGCAAGGCUUAACCUUGAAACAAUACAUCCUGAAAUCAUCACUCCCGUAAAUCCCAUCGUUUAUAUCUGGUAAGGAAGUGUCAAUCGGGUACUCCUUCUUCUCACUUCCUUCUUUCGUCGGUUGAAUCACUGCUUUUCCUUCUUCUUCCUCCAGCUCCGCGAGCUCAGCCAAGCUACCAUUCAACAGCAACUCGAGCGAUUUCCUUUUCGAAUUCCUCAAACACUUAGGAUAAGAAGCAAUCACAUCACAUGGUCUGUUUCCACUUGAAUCACAAGCAUUAACAUCUGCAGAAGCAUCAACCAAGAUCUUGACAACCUCGAUCGAUGAUUCAGAUCCACCAGCUGCAGCACAGUGAAGAGCAGUUGCACCAUCAGAUCCACAAGCUCUGUUGACAUCAACUUUCCCAGUUUCAAUAAUAAACCUCAAAAUCUCAAUACUUCCAUACAUAGAAGCAAUCAUUAAAGGAGUUCUCUCCUCUAACCCCAUCUCUUUUGACCCGAAUUUUCUACCAUACCAAGAGCUUAACUCAUCAAUCCCACAACCCUUUUCCACUUCACAUAUGAAUCCAGCAAGAUCAUCUGAAGCUGACAAUUCAAGCAAUUUAGAGCAAUUUUUACUAACCCCA